CGCACGAGCGCACCCUUGACUUUAGUUGCCAGCAGGUUAAGCUGGGCACUCUAGAGUGACUGCCGGUGACAAACCGGAGGAAGGCGGGGAUGACGUCAAAUCAUCAUGCCCCUUAUGACCUGGGCUACACACGUACUACAAUGGCCGGUACAGAGGGCUGCGAAGCCGCGAGGUGGAGCCAAUCCCAGAAAGCCGGUCUCAGUUCGGAUUGCAGGCUGCAACUCGCCUGCAUGAAGUCGGAAUUGCUAGUAAUCGCGGAUCAGCAUGCCGCGGUGAAUACGUUCCCGGGUCUUGUACACACCGCCCGUCACACCACGAGAGUUUAUAACACCCGAAGUCGGUGAGGUAACCUGCAAAGGAGCCAGCCGCCGAAGGUGGGAUAGAUGAUUGGGGUGAAGCCGUAACAAGGUAGCCGUAGGGGAACCUGCGGCUGGAUCACCUCCUUAACGACGAAGACCUCUGUUCCGUUCAGGGCC
rnacentral:rRNA from 1 species